GGAAUAUAGCUCCUUUGGUAGAGUGCUUGCCUUGCAUGCACAAGGUCCUGGGUUUGAUCCCCAGCACCA
rnacentral:tRNA from 1 species